rnacentral:lncRNA from 1 species
GUUGAAUUGUAAUUCCCAAUGUUGGAAGAGGGAACUGAUGGGAGGUGAUUGGAUCACGGGGGCAGAUUUCCCCUACGCUCUUCUUGUGAUAGUGAGUGAGUUCUCACCAGAGCUGAUGGUUUAAAAGUGUAUGGCACUUCCCCCCUUGCUCUCCCUCUCUCUCUCUCUCCUGCUGCCUUCUGAAGAAGGAGCUUGCUGCUUCUUUUCCUUCUGCCAUGAUUGUCAGUUUCCUGAGAUCUCCAGUCAUGCUUUCUGUUAAGCUCGUGAAACUGGGAGGAGCCAAGAUGGCCGAAUAGGAACAGCUCCGGUCUACAGCUCCCAGCGUGAGCGACUCAGAAGAUGGGUGAUUUCUGCAUUUCCAUCUGAGCUACAAGCAAGAAGAUCCUGGAUCAUGCCAGAGGUUUAAAAGAAGAAGUGAAGUUCAACAAGUUCAUGUCAUAUUUUAACAUGUUCCAGAAUUUCUCACAGGUCUACCAAACUCAAAUGCAACAUUUCCAAAUCACCGUUAAUGGUCUUCGCCUCAAAUCUGUGAAUGGUAUCCUAUGAAGUUGUGCAAUAUGAUAUCUUCAGAUCCCCCAUCUCUGAAUGUUCCCACCUGUGUGUGCAGCAAAGAGCCAAAGUUUAAUCUUUGACAUUUUCUUUCUUUCUCCCACAUUCCAUUAGUUAUUGUUCUGUCCCUGUAUCGUAUGUUUUCGUUGCCCUCUAUACCUACCUUACAUAAAACUUAAUAGAGCAUAUAACUAAUUAUGUAUUUUCUUGAUGAUCUAAUCAACAAUAAACUUUCUCAGUAGUCUAAAUUCUUCAUGAAAUCAUAGACUAUAUUUUACUCACUAUUAUAGCCCUAGUAUAUAGCAAUAUUGUUAUAUGUGAGGUGCUUAAUAUAUAAUUUUCC